AGUGAACGCUGGCGGUAGGCCUAACACAUGCAAGUCGAACGGCAGCACAGUAAGAGCUUGCUCUUACGGGUGGCGAGUGGCGGACGGGUGAGGAAUACAUCGGAAUCUACUUUUUCGUGGGGGAUAACGUAGGGAAACUUACGCUAAUACCGCAUCCGACCUACGGGUGAAAGCAGGGGAUCUUCGGACCUUGCGCGAUUGAAUGAGCCGAUGUCGGAUUAGCUAGUUGGCGGGGUAAAGGCCCACCAAGGCGACGAUCCGUAGCUGGUCUGAGAGGAUGAUCGGCCACACUGGAACUGAGACACGGUCCAGACUCCUACGGGAGGCAGCAGUGGGGAAUAUUGGACAAUGGGCGCAAGCCUGAUCCAGCCAUACCGCGUGGGUGAAGAAGGCCUUCGGGUUGUAAAGCCCUUUUGUUGGGAAAGAAAAGCAGCAGGUUAAGACCCCGCUGUUCUGACGGUACCCAAAGAAUAAGCACCGGCUAACUUCGUG
rnacentral:rRNA from 1 species